UACGUAGGGGGCAAGCGUUGUCCGGAAUCAUUGGGCGUAAAGCGCGUGUAGGCGGCUCGAUAAGUCUGCUGUGAAAGUCCAAGGCUCAACCUUGGGAUGCCGGUGGAUACUGUCGAGCUCGAGUCCGGAAGAGGAGUGUGGAAUUCCUGGUGUAGCGGUGAAAUGCGCAGAUAUCAGGAGGAACACCAAUGGCGAAGGCAGCACUCUGGGACGUGACUGACGCUGAGACGCGAAAGCGUGGGGAGCAAACAGGAC
rnacentral:rRNA from 1 species